rnacentral:rRNA from 1 species
UAUGUGAUCGUCUCUCGCAUAUCAAUAAGCGGAGGAAAAGAAACUAACAAGGAUUCCCUUAGUAACGGCGAGUGAAGCGGGAAGAGCUCAAAUUUGAAAUCUUCAAGGUUUUACCUUGACGAAUUGUAGUUUAAAGAAGUGUUUUCUGUUGAAGUUUUGGUAAAAGUUCUUUGGAAUAGGACAUCAUAGAGGGUGAGAAUCCCGUAUUUGACCAUUAUUUUCAGCUGUGUGAUACACUUUCAAAGAGUCGGAUUGUUUGGGAAUGCAGUCCAAAAUGGGUGGUAAAUUUCAUCUAAAGCUAAAUAUUGGCGAGAGACCGAUAGCGAACAAGUACCGUGAGGGAAAGAUGAAAAGAACUUUGAAAAGAGAGUUAAACAGUACGUGAAAUUGUCAAAAGGGAAGCGUUUGACACCAGUGUUGUUUUCUCGAAAAUCAAUUAAAAAGAGUUUGAUUUUGUUGUGUAUUGACCUUAACAGCUUGCAUUUCAAUUUUCUUGCUUUUUUUAAUGCACUUUUCGUUUAACAAGUCAACAUCAGUUUCUUUUGUUGUAAAAAGGGUCAUUGGAAGGUGGCUCUCUUUUCGGAGAAAGUGUUUAUAGCCUUUGACUCCUGCAAUCGGAGAGACUGAGGUCUGCAGCGUAGAUCCUUCGGGGUUAGAUACAUUUGUGCUAAGUUAUAGCUUUUUAUAGACAACUUGUUGACUAUGAUUAGUCUUGUAGCUUACUCGCUUAUGCUAUUUUACCUACGCUUAGGAUGUUGAAGAUGUAGCACAUCAU